AAGUCGUAACAAGGUUUCCGUAGGUGAACCUGCGGAAGGAUCAUUAACAGGGCUGAAACCGCAAGGUGGACCUCCCUACCGUGUAUAACUACCUUUGUUGCUUUGGCGGGGCGUCUCGCGACCAGCGGCUCCGGCUGCUGCGCCCCCGCCAGAGGACCACAACUCUUGUUUUUUAGUGAUGUCUGAGUACUAUAUAAUAGUUAAAA
rnacentral:misc_RNA from 1 species